rnacentral:rRNA from 1 species
GUGUCAGCAGCCGCGGUAAUACAGAGAGGGCAAGCGUUGUCCGGAAUGACUGGGCGUAAAGCGCGCGCAGGCGGUUUCUUAAGUUGGAUGUGAAAUCCCCGGGCUUAACCUGGGAACUGCAUACGAUACUGGGAGACUAGAGGCCGAGAGAGGAAAGCGGAAUGACGAGUGUAGAGGUGAAAUUCGUAGAUAUUCGUCGGAACACCAGAGGCGAAGGCGGCUUUCUGGCUCGGACCUGACGCUCAGGCGCGAAAGCGUGGGGAGCAAACAGGAUUAGAUACCCUGGUAGUCCACGCCCUAAACGAUGAGUGCUAGAUGUCGGAUUUUCGGAUUCGGUGUCGCAGCUAACGCAUUAAGCACUCCGCCUGGGGAGUACGGUCGCAAGAUUAAA